UUGGGGGCUGCAGGGUUUGGGGUCUGUGGGGGCUUUGGGACUGUGUAGAGGUCAGAAGGAGGGCUGGGGUGCUGUGCAAGGACAGCCCCGGGGUGUGGCUGCUCCCUGGGGAGGCAUUGGGCCCACAGCUGGGUGGGGAUGAGGGGGAGAGAGCUGAGUGGGCCCUGUGGGGUGUAAGGGGUGAGCUGUGUGGUGGGGAGGGGGCUGCAGGGCCAGCCCCAGGGCCAGCAGCCAGAGCAGGAUUUGGUUUUGCAUGAGUGUCCCAGAACUUUGUGUGUCCCAGGCUUUCCUGUUGGGGCUCAGCCCCAGGUGGUGACAGAGGUGGGACUGGGUGCUUCCAUUCCUGAGGUGAGGGAGCGCCAGGUGGCUGGACCAGGAGGUGAUUCUGCUUCUUGCAGUUUGGUAAUACCUGUGUGGUCUUUUUGGGUUAUCACAGAAUCAUAGAAGGGUUUGGGCUGAAAGGGAGCAUAGAGACCAUCUCCUGCCAUGGGCAGGGACACCUUCCUCUAUCCCAGGUUGCUCUAAGCCCAGUCCAACCUGGCCUUGAAUAUGUCCACAGCUUCUCUGGGCGCCCUGUGCCAGGGCCUCCCCACCCUCCCUAAUUCCCUAAUACCAGGGCCUCCCCACGCUCCUUAAUUCCCUAAAACCCUUCUCUGUGCCUGUUGAAACCAUUCUCCCUUGUCCUGGCACUCCAUGCUCUUGUAAAAAGUCCCCCUCCGGGUUUCUUGUAGGUAAUAGAAAGCAGUUGUGCCUAAUGGAUGAUGAACGUGAAUAAAAUCCAUUUUUCAAAGUUGA